CGUAGGGUUCUUAAAGAAUAAAAUGAACUGGUGCCUGUGAAUGGGCUUUGCAGAUGCUAACUUGCCUGUACACAGCACCUCGGAAGGUACAAUUCGUGGAGAGUUCUUCCUCACAGUAAAUGAGUACUUUGCUGGUCUGGACUGCACAGCAGCCUCUCUGGAGGCAGAUCACUGUGAGUCUAUUAUGGAGAGUCUGGUCUUUGCUGGGGAUGCUGUUUCUCUGCCUGCCAGACUGGAACCAGAUGAUUGUAGUUCACCACAGUGAUCCUCCAGGACUCAGUACAGUGGAUUUUGCUCUUUCCACUGAAACACUGAACCAAGCUGUGGUCCCAGGUCAGGAGAGAUGAAGAUGGUGAGCAAAUUGGUAAUAAUGGCAAAUUCUGAGGGAUGGGUGGGUUAUUCUAAGUGUCUGGUGGUUUUACGGGAACAGUCCCACCCUUUUCCUUGAACCAUUUGUUUGACUGAUCAAAUAGUUAUUUCUAAGGAGCUUUUGAAUGUCCAAAUUUCCCAUACUUCUUAACUCUCAUGCAGUUUGUUUACAAUAAAACAAAAAAAAUGGGACUGGUCUUU